AUCAGGGGGAUAGCCUCUCGAAAGAGAGAUUAAGCCCGCAUAAAAUCACAGUGCAGCAUUGCAUAAUGAUCAAAUAUUUAUAGGAUGAAGAUGGGCAUGCGGAACAUUAGCUAGAUGGUGAGGUAACGGCUCACCAUGGCAACGAUGUUUAGGGGAUCUGAGAGGAUGACCCCCCACACUGGUACUGAGACACGGACCAG
rnacentral:rRNA from 1 species